GUCAUGGCAUCCGCUCGUGAGGAAAAUCGCAUAAGUACUUACAGAAAACUGCUUAUAGAUCUGUCGAUGGAACUGUCCAGAAAAGAUCUGGAGAUGUUAAUUUAUGCUGUAGGAGAUUUUCUUCCCAGGAGAGUGACAGAAAACAUGGACAGUGGACUGAAGUUAUUUGAAGCACUCGAACAUGAUGUACACAUUAGUCCACUGGACCUGACCCUGCUUCAGGAUGGGUUGAAUACAAUUGGUAGAGUGGAUCUUGCUCAAAGAAUUCAGGUUUUCUCUAGUAAACUGGAGACAGUUGAGACUGAUGGUGGGCAAGAGGACAUAGUGACUGAUGAAAUUGGGGAUCAAGGCAAUGCUGGCACCACAGAAAGUGAUGAGAUUGAUCCUACUAACACAGUAAACUCGAGUGCAAGGAAAGGUGGGCAAGAUGACAUAGUGACUGAUGGAAUUGGGGAUCAAGGCAAUGCUGGCACAGCAGAAAGUGAUGAGAUUGAUCCUACUAACACAGUAAAUCCUGGUGCAAGGAAAGCUCGUGCUGCACACUUGAAAUCAGCACUGCUACCUCACCAUUCAGCAUUACUGUUUGAUGGGAAUCUGGAAAUUACCCCCACAAUGGUCAGAACUAGGGAUACUGGAGAAGCUACUUCUAAAAAACAUUGCCUUGUGGCCAGUGGUGAUGCUACAUCUGCUGCUAUAAAUAAUGGCCCCUGCACUUCAUCUCCUGCACCUUCAGCUGCACAUGUGGGGCAACAAUCACGAGGACCCACUCAGGCUGCUUCAUCUGGCCGGGUCCAAAAUCACUUAGCCCAUGGAACAGCACCGGUUCGAUAUGUGAACUUUCUUGUUUAUGAGGGCUACUCUGUUGAAGUAAUAGGAGGAAAACACUUCAAAACUCCAGAUGGAGAGUUUGUGGAAAUGAAAAGUGGGACACAGUAUAAAAUACAUGUCAAAAAUUCACAUCCUUAUGGUUGUCAUCUGGACAUAUCAAUGGAUGGUUUUGACGUAGGGGGAUGGGCCCUCCUCGAAGGAGAAGAGAUGUUAAUAGAAAGAUCGGCAUACGAGGCCAAGAAGUUCACCUUCUACCGAGUGAAAACUGCACCGAAAGAGGCAGGAAUUGUGUCUGGGCGGGCAGAAAAUGGUGUUCUUAAGUGUAUGUUCACACCUGAAGUAAUGGCAGAAGUUCAAGGCAAUUUUUCUGGGCCAUCUGCCACAGCUACAGCUGGUGACGUGGAUCAUAAUGCCCAAGAUAGAGGGAAAGAACGAGAGCUUGAAGAACAAGAAUGUACUUCAACAGAACUUGUCAAGUGUUUUAAAUGAAAAGUCGCCAUUGAAUGUUUUAUUUCUCAAUGUUAGGGUUUGAAAGCCAUGAUAUAAGACGGUGGUUUGAAAGCCAUGGUGUUGAACGCUGGUCCUGUUCAAGGGCGUCAU
rnacentral:misc_RNA from 1 species